CUCUGUAUUCUGGAUGGAUUCUCCUGGAUUAAAGAUGGGCCGCUGUCAAAGCACCUGACCAAGACUGACAACUGGUGAAUGGAAAACCGGAAUAAGCACUUGGAAGAAGAAAACCGACAACCGAGACAACUUGCCUUUGAUUUGCCUGGCGUAAUGGAUACUUUGAAAACCACAA